rnacentral:rRNA from 2 species
UGCAAGUCGGACGGGGUCGUUCUUGGUGGCAACACCUUGGACGGCCUAGUGGCGAACGGGUGAGUAACACGUGAGGAACCUGCCCCGAAGACCGGGAUAACAGAAGGAAACUUCUGCUAAUACCGGAUACCCCCACCGAACCGCAUGGUUUGGUGAGGAAAUGGAUUCCGCUUCGGGAGGGCCUCGCGGCCUAUCAGCUAGUUGGUGGGGUAACGGCCUACCAAGGCAUCGACGGGUAGCUGGUCUGAGAGGACGAUCAGCCACACUGGGACUGAGACACGGCCCAGACUCC